GAGGCUAUGGUGUAAUGGCAGCACAACACCCUGUGGAGGUGUCAGUACGGGUUCAAAUCCCGUUAGUCUCCCCA
rnacentral:tRNA from 1 species